rnacentral:rRNA from 1 species
GAUGAACGCUGGCGGCGUGCCUAAUACAUGCAAGUCGAGCGAACAGACGAGGAGCUUGCUCCUCUGACGUUAGCGGCGGACGGGUGAGUAACACGUGGAUAACCUACCUAUAAGACUGGGAUAACUUCGGGAAACCGGAGCUAAUACCGGAUAACAUAUUGAACCGCAUGGUUCAAUAGUGAAAGACGGUUUUGCUGUCACUUAUAGAUGGAUCCGCGCCGCAUUAGCUAGUUGGUAAGGUAACGGCUUACCAAGGCAACGAUGCGUAGCCGACCUGAGAGGGGGAUCGGCCACACUGGAACUGAGACACGGUCCAGACUCCUACGGGAGGCAGCAGUAGGGAAUCUUCCGCAAUGGGCGAAAGCCUGACGGAGCAACGCCGCGUGAGUGAUGAAGGUCUUCGGAUCGUAAAACUCUGUUAUUAGGGAAGAACAAAUGUGUAAGUAACUAUGCACGUCUUGACGGUACCUAAUCAGAAAGCCACGGCUAACUACGUG